rnacentral:lncRNA from 1 species
GUUGCUAAGCAGCUAAAUCUACAAUUUAGUCACCUGAGAGACAAAAGGGGGAAGGGCUUACGUUUCUCUUUGUUCUGUGGUCACAGCUACACACCUUUGUUCAUUGAUAAAGGGUGGUACAAACCAUCUAGACGGAAAGGGCCAUGGAAACUACUGUUUCUUCUGAUGUUUGGGCACAGAACUGACAUCCCUUUGCUCCAGUCUUCCAAACCCUGGCCACGUGAACUAAGCCAUCUGAUUGCUGGGUAUAUCAGCAUCUAGUUUGUGCAAAAUUAUCUGAACUUAUUUUCGUUCCUGCUGAUGCAAGUGCCUGGUGGGUCAAAUCCGGAGGCGGAUGCAUGACAAGGUAUGGCUUCCAUGAAAAGAAAACAACGCCACACUUCUUCUCCUUUUGAUCCCCUGCCACUCAGCUACUUAUACAACUCUUCUCUCCACAAAUACUAAUUCAGCUUUUAAUUUGAAACUGUUAGGGAAGUUUCAGACAGGGAAAAUAAAGGAGUUAAAAGUAUGCCUGCAGCUCUAAAAUAUGUCAAAUUAGUGUAUUGAUUACUUCAAGCUCAAAGUACUUUGGAAACUGUAGUUCCAGAAGUGACUAUCUGACCUGUCUUUUCCUGCAUAUAGCAAGCCAUAAAACUUCCAUGGAGAAAGAUGCCUUCCCUGUGCCGGGACAAGAAAAUAACCCUAUCCCCAGGAUUGGAAAUUGUUGCUUCAGUAGACCUGUACAAAUAAACUAAAGUAACUCUUAUCUCCCAACUAGCUUUAUAACUCCUCCUUGACACUCCCCACCAGUAGAUCUCCUAGUGACUUCCCUGGAAUUCACUGUCCCUAGCUUAGAUCCUUUUGUGUCACGGUCCCAAUCCCUGUUGGACUGAACAAAGGGGGAUGAACGCGGGAAUAAAGACAAAGACAAAAGAGUAUUUUUGGUUGAAGGGGUCAGGGGGCUCCUUACUUCUAGUGAACAAGGGCUUUGAGUUUCUAGCUCCCUUCAUAUUUAUUGAGAAAAGAAGAUAGGGAGAAGGAGGUGGUUGUCAGUAGGCUGCUUGACUCGGCGCAGGCCUGCAUGACUGCAUUCUCUGAACAGUAGUCUCCAGAUGUUCCAGCAGAUAACCUCAAGGAGCAUGGCGCCAGGGAGUGAUUGCACCCAGCAUAUCUUCUGGCAGCUGUGAGUCUGCCCACAUCCUGCAUUCAUGAUAAAC